CCCACCGUUGAAACGGCGGGCUAUUUUCAGCCAUCCCUACGGGAUU
rfam:Caldithrix abyssi DSM 13497 chromosome, whole genome shotgun sequence.